rnacentral:rRNA from 1 species
CCUACGGGAGGCAGCAGUGAGGAAUCUUGGUCAAUGGACGAGAGUCUGAACCAGCCAAGUAGCGUGAAGGAUGACUGCCCUAUGGGUUGUAAACUUCUUUUAUAUGGGAAUAAAAUGUUCCACGUGUGGGAUUUUGUAUGUACCAUAUGAAUAAGGAUCGGCUAACUCCGUGCCAGCAGCCGCGGUAAUACGGAGGAUCCGAGCGUUAUCCGGAUUUAUUGGGUUUAAAGGGAGCGUAGGUGGAUUGUUAAGUCAGUGGUGAAAGUUUGCGGCUCAACCGUAAAAUUGCAGUUGAAACUGGCAGUCUUGAGUACAGUAGAGGUGGGCGGAAUUCGUGGUGUAGCUGUGAACUGCUUAGAUAUCACGAAGAACUCCGAUUGCGAAGGCAGUUCACUGGACUGCAACUGACACUGAGGCUCGAAAGUGUGGGUAUCAAACAGGAUUAGAUACCCGUGUAGUC